rnacentral:lncRNA from 1 species
UCGGGAUAAACGCUUGAAUGAUUAUUAACUGUAAUGGUUUGAUCAUAAAAGAGUUAGUACGAAUAUUAACAAUAAAAUUAUGGAUUAGAUUAAUUUAAAUUUGUAAGAAUACCUUUGAGUCUAUGAAAAGCAAUUCAAUUCCCAUGAAUAAAUUUGGUUUUUGAAAGUUGCGGGUUUCCCAACAAUGAAUCCACCUAACAAAAAGUUCGUUGUUAUAAAAAAUCUCCUUCAAGGUCAUUAAAGAUUUUUGGGACGGCAAGAGUUGAUGGUGAAACCAUUUUUUUGCUCGAGUGCUUUGAAGUUUUCUUUGAUAGUGUGAGGUUGAUGUUGAUGGAAUAAUGAGUUUUAUAGGGACUUUCUUGAUGUAAAACUAUACAUUUUUAUUUUUUUUGUUUAAUGUGGUAUUUCUAUUUUUAUAUAAUUUACUACCAUUUUAAGAUAGAUGUAGAUUUUAAGAUCGAUGUUUAAAUCUUAAUGUAGUUUUUAAAUUUUUUAAAAUGUUUAUUUCCAUUUCUUAUAUUUUUUAUUUACGUAAUAUCUAUAUUUUUUAUUUUAAAAUAGAUAUUUAAAUCUUAAUGUACUUUUUCUAUUUUUUUAAAUUGUGUAUUUAAUUUUAUCAUAUAUUUUACAUUUUAAGAUAGAUGUUUAAUGCUUAAUGAACUUUUUCCAUUUUUUAAAAAAAAUUGUGUAUUUACUUAUUAUUAUAUAUAUAAUUCAUAUAUUAUAUAUUUAUAUUAUUUACUUAUUAUUUAUUUUCCUGUAUAUGUAUUUCUAUUUCUUGUACUUUUUAUUUACUUAAUAUCUCUAUUUUACAUUUUAAGAUAGAUGUUUAAAUCUUAAUGUACGUUUUCCCUUUUUUUAAAUUGUAUAUUUCCAUUUGUUAUACUUUCUAUUUACGUAAUAUCUAUAUUUUAAAUUUUAAGAUAUAUUUUUAAAUCUUAAUGUAAUUUUCCAUUUUUUAUUUUUAUAUUUUUAUUUUUUUUUUGUCGACAACAUUACAGACUCAUAUUGACCCUGUAAACCAAGCUGAGAGAUGUUGAUCCAUGUAAACGACGAAAGACAGCUGAAUCCUGACACUGCGUGCUAGGCUAUCCGCCUUCGUAUUUUGCGUUCUUGGCACAUGAAUAAUCUCUGAUCGUAUGAAACUCUCUUUCAAAUUCUUGAUAUCCUCCAAAUAACUUGCAAAAGCUGGUCAUUCUUCUGGUUUCUUAUAAUAUAUAUUUACUUAUUAUUUAUUGUUCUUUAUAUUGUGUAUUUCUAUUUCUUAUACUUUCUAUUUACUAAUAAUUUUAUAAUUUAAGAUGAAUUUACAUUUUAAGAUAGAUGUUUAAAUACUAAUGUACUUUUUCCAUUUUUUUUAAAUUGUGUAUUUCCUUUUCUUAU